GAUAGAUCAAACAUGCUUUAGUAGUAGCAGUAGAGAAUGUACAAUGAUCACCUACAAAUAGAAUACCUAAAACAAUGUGGCAAAUCAAUGAAGAGGUAUCAUCAACGCACAGGAAACAUUAGAGAGAAAUAACACAACACCAAGUUUAAGAACUUCACCAAGAACUCUUCUUCUUCGAUCCAUAGUAACUAACAUACCACUUCACAAACUUCUUUAACCCCAUUUCCAAAUCAGUAGUAGGCUUAUAUCCCAGCUCUGUAUGUGCCAAAGUAAUAUUAGCAUGCGUAAAUGGCACAUCCCCAUUCCUCGGCAUUUGGAUAACCUUCUUCUUUGCCUUCACCUUCAACAACUUCUCCAAAAUACUAACAAGUCUCCCAACAGGCACCGGCUUUGUAUUACCUAAAUUAAAAAUCCUCAACUGAGCUGCACCCUUCUUCUUCCCCCCACUCCCUGUGCUCUUUUUCGCAGUAUCCAGUGCUCCCAAACAACCCUUUACCACAUCAUCAACAUAAGUAAAAUCCCUAGCAACACUACCUUGAUCAGAUGUCUCAAAAAUCUUGAUUUCCUUCCCUCUCAAAAUAUCUUUUGUAAAGAAAAAAUACGCCAUAUCAGGCCUACCCCAUGGACCAUAAACUGUGAAAAACCGCAAUCCAGUAAUCGAAAGACCAUAUAUAUGGUUAUAUGUAUGAGCAAUUUCUUCACCAGCCUUUUUAGUUGCAGCAUAAAGACUAGCAGGCUGAUCUGUUCUAUCCUUCUCUGAAAAAGGUACUUUAGUAUUCAAUCCAUA
rnacentral:misc_RNA from 1 species